CAGCAGCCGCGGUAAUACGAAGGGGGCUAGCGUUGUUCGGAUUUACUGGGCGUAAAGGGCGCGUAGGCGGACUGAUAAGUCAGGGGUGAAAUCCCAAGGCUCAACCUUGGAACUGCCUUUGAUACUGUUUGUCUUGAGUUCGAGAGAGGUAAGUGGAACUGCGAGUGUAGAGGUGAAAUUCGUAGAUAUUCGCAAGAACACCGGUGGCGAAGGCGGCUCACUGGUCCGGAACUGACGCUGAGGCACGACAGCGUGGGGAGCAAACAGGAUUAGAUACCCCUGUAGUCCCUGUCUCUUAUAC
rnacentral:rRNA from 1 species